UUUUCUUACUAGGAAGGAUGAAUGUUCAAAUUUGAGGAAUCCCAAAUGGAACAGAAGUAUCCUAUUCCAGAGAGGACACCAUUUAUGAUCCCUUAAACCUAUGGAUCAAAGGAUUUUCUUUCACCUUGAAAAACUGCACAUGGAGGAGAGCUCCUUUGCCUGGUUCCUGCAGUCGGAACAUAUCCUACUGGGUAGAGUUAACAGAGAAAAUCUGGUUUCAUAAAGACUGAAUAACUUUGCAAGUUCACAAGCCUAAACUGGCACCGGAAAUUAUACCAAAAUUCAAUGGCAAGUUCAUUCUCUAGGUCUGUGAGUCUGCUUCUGUUUUAUAAGAUCAGUGCCCUGUUGUUCUGUAUCCUUUGCGUUUGCAUAAGCAGAGAGCCUCUGACAUUGUUCCGUGGAAGGCAUUUCCAGCAGAGCGUGUGAAGGCGUUUGCUCCAGCUGUUCUCGGCUCCUCCCAGCUAUGCUGCCUUCUCCCUCAACCCCGGGGGGUGUUACCGGGCGCAGCUGACUCAGCUAUGAUUGCGCAGAUGAAACCUCCCAUGGAUGGGCUUUGGUCAGACUACACUGGAAAAUUUGUGAUGGAAAGAUGGUUUGUCUUUCAUCUUUGACAAAGUGAAAGUCCCACCUGGCUGCAUCCAAGUAAAGGGAAAAGCAAAGGUGAAACUUGUGUCUCUGUAGUCCUCUGUCUGCAGCGUUCAACUCAGCAUGUACACUGAGUCCCUGCGUUACCCGUCACUGCUUAAUCCAGCACCCGGUGAUGCUCUGCCACCUGUGUUCUGGAGAUUUUCCCUUCUCUCCUCGUCUCAGAUUUCCUUCCACAAUAGUCAUCCUCCUGGUCUGUCAAUGGUAUCUUUUUCUUCUGUUCUUAUUGCCCUUACUCUUCCAGUCUACUGUCAAGAAUAUGAAUAACAACAAGCAUCCUGAAUUGCUCUGAUUCUUUUCUUUAGUUACCAUUCUUUCUUUUUCCAUUUGAUAGAAAACUCUUGGAAUGUAUGGUAAUCUUAACUUUUCUCCUAUUAUCUUCCAAAAAAUACAACUUAAAAUUUGCUAAAAGAACUCUAGUAAGAUAUUUUAUUGAAUUUAAAACCAUCAGUUGAACUAUAUUUACAACUUAAUAAUUAACUGAAUGAUGUAAAUUAGCUUAUUGAUUUCAUUGUUUUAAAGCUCAUACUUCAAGUAUUUAAAAAAGCCUUUAUUUACAGUUAACAGUAUAAUAUUUUAUCCCUGAAGAAUCAAAGAUAUUCUCUUCAAUUAGUAGGGACCAUUUUUCUAUAUUGCAAACAUUUAGCUAAUUUACAAAUCACUGCCCUUUUCCACUCAGGGUUUAAUAAAUUGAUUUUAAUAAUAAAUGUAUUCAAGCAUAAUCGGAAAAUAUAGUUAAUAAUAUUAGUAAUUUGAAAAUUAAAUAUGUGAGUAGCUGGUUGGUUUUGUUCUGAAUUACUUUAGGUAUACAGAUGCACAGGUACAGUCUUCUGUUGCCUGUUUCUACCCAUAGAAAAUUUAAUAAUAGUUUGACUAAUGCGAUGGGGAAAAUUAUUCUAUUUAUAGCUACUGAAAAUUUUGAAAAACCUUGCACAUUUUGUUCCUAAAGUAGAAAUUAACAUUUUAAGGAUACAGCGUUGUCAGAGUUCAGCAAAGCACUUGGUUAUUUUUUAGCCUCAAGAAGUGGGAAAAUUGUAGUUAUUUAAAUGUCACUGCUUUGCAAAGAAAGACUUCAGUCUCUUGUUUCUUUGUCUCUUUAUCCUUCAUUUGCAAGUGCUUGCAUAAUAUAUCCAGUAAGUGUAUUUUUUGAAGUAUAACUAUUUUUUAACAGAUGCAAUCUUUACUUUUAUUGCUUCAUAUUUACAUUAGAGAUUAAUAUAUUUUCUUGAAUGCUUGGCAGAUUAACAUUUCUUUGUUUAUCUUUAUGAUUUUUUUAAGCACUAGAGAAGUCUGUCAUUGACAAAACUGAGCUAAUGUCAAUGACUCUAUUUUUUAAGAGUUCUUCUGUGACACUGAAAUUUUGGAAAAUCAUGUACACAUAUAAAUUAGAUGAUAAGGGUAGAAACUGAAGCUUCAAUUGCAAGAGUUUCUCAGUGUAUUAUUUUUCUUAAGCUUACUAGAUGAGAACAUUGAAGCUGUCGUUAUAUGUUUAUAAAAUAGUUUAUUGCUGUUUGUGAAACCUUGCCAUUUUUAUUCUGAUUCUUUAAUUCUUUUAAUAAAAUAAUCAAUCUAAUUAAAUCAUUGAAGGUUAAAAUCAAAUUCCAUUUCAAUAUUAUUUACCUAGGAUUCCUAAGAGCUUCUAAGUGUUUAAUUAACUCAGUUGUAGAAGGGUUAACAGUCAGAAAUAUAUCCAGGUCAUCUAAGUCAUACAAUUGUCAGAUGGUUGCUAGGCAACAGAUAUCAGGUUUGGCUGAUGCGUGUUCUAGGCAAAGAUUAUAGUGUGAAAAGAACAAAUUACAUGAUACCUGCAUUUUUAUUGUUAUGCUUUUUGAAAAUAAAGUUGUAUUGGAGGAAGA